rnacentral:rRNA from 1 species
AUACGGAGGGUGCAAGCGUUGUUCGGAAUCACUGGGCGUAAAGGGCGCGCAGGCGGUUUUACAAGUCAGAUGUGAAAGCCCACGGCUCAACCGUGGAAGUGCAUUUGAAACUGUAAGACUUGAGUAUCAGAGGGGAAGGUGGAAUUCCCGGUGUAGAGGUGAAAUUCGUAGAUAUCGGGGAAUACCGGUGGCGAAGGCGACUUUCUGGCUGAAUACUGACGCUGAGGCGCGAAAGCGUGGGGAGCAAACAGGAUUAGAUACCCUAGUAGUCC